rnacentral:rRNA from 1 species
GAUGAACGCUAGCUACAGGCUUAACACAUGCAAGUCGAGGGGUAACGAGAGGAAAGCUUGCUUUCCUUGUCGACGACCGGCGCACGGGUGAGUAACGCGUAUCCAACCUGCCCCCAACUAGGGAAUAACCUUGCGAAGGUAAGACUAAUACCCUAUAAUUUCCUCAGAUGACAUCUGACGAGGAAUAAAGAUUUAACGGUUGUGGAUGGGGAUGCGUCUGAUUAGCUUGUUGGCGGGGUAACGGCCCACCAAGGCAACGAUGAGUGGGGGUUCUGAGAGGAAGGUCCCCCACAUUGGAACUGAGACACGGUCCAAACUCCUACGGGAGGCAGCAGUGAGGAAUAUUGGUCAAUGGGCGGAAGCCUGAACCAGCCAAGUAGCGUGCAGGAUGACGGCCCUAUGGGUUGUAAACUGCUUUUAUACAGGAAUAAAGUUAGCCACGUGUGGUUAUUUGUAGGUACUGUAUGAAUAAGGACCGGCUAAUUCCGUGCCAGCAGCCGCCGUAA